rnacentral:rRNA from 1 species
AUUGAACGCUGGCGGCAUGCUUUACACAUGCAAGUCGAGCGGCAGCGCGGGGGCAACCCUGGCGGCGAGCGGCGAACGGGUGAGUAAUGCAUCGGAACGUAUCCUGUAGUGGGGAAUAACUCACCGAAAGGUGAGCUAAUACCGCAUAAGCUCUGAGGAGGAAAGCGGGGGACCGAAAGGCCUCGCGCUGCAGGAGCGGCCGAUGUCCGAUUAGCUAGUUGGUGAGGUAAAGGCUCACCAAGGCGACGAUCGGUAGCUGGUCUGAGAGGAUGAUCAGCCACACUGGGACUGAGACACGGCCCAGACUCCUACGGGAGGCAGCAGUGGGGAAUUUUGGACAAUGGGGGAAACCCUGAUCCAGCCAUGCCGCGUGAGUGAAGAAGGCCUCGGGUUGUAAGUACUCUUUCGGUACGGAACGAAAUUAG